GGGGUGGAAAGGUAGGUCCUACUCUGUCUGGGGUGGAAAGGUAGGUCCUACUCUGUCUGGGGUGGAAAGGUAGGGGGUGGAAAGGUAGGCCUAUUCUGUCUGGGGUGGAAAGGUAGGUCUACUCUGUCUGGGGUGGAAAGGUAGGUCCUACUCUGUAGGGGGUGGAAAGGUAGGCCUAUUCUGUCUGGGGUGGAAAGGUAGGCCUACAAUGUCUGGGGUGGAAAGGUAGGUCCUACUCUGUCUGGGGUGGAAAGGUAGGCCCUCCUCUGUCUGGGGUGGAAAGGUAGGCCUACAAUGUCUGGGGUGGAAAGGUAGGUCCUACUCUGUCUGGGGUGGAAAGGUAGGCCUACUCUGUCUGGGGUGGAAAGGUAGGCCUACUCUGUCUGGGGUGGAAAGGUAGGCCUACUCUGUCUGGGGUGGAAAGGUAGGCCUCCUCUGUCUGGGGUGGAAAGGUAGGCCUACUCUGUCUGGGGUGGAAAGGUAGGUCCUACUCUGUCUGGGGUGGAAAGGUAGGCCUACUCUGUCUGGGGUGGAAAGGUAGGCCUACC
ensembl:lncRNA